UACGAGGGGGGGCGAGCGUUGUUCGGAAUUAUUGGGCGUAAAGGGUGCAUAGGCGGUUCCGCAAGUCCUGUGUGAAAUCUUCGGGCUCAACUCGAAGUCUGCACGGGAAACUGCGGGGCUUGAGUGUGGGAGAGGUGAGUGGAAUUCCCGGUGUAGCGGUGAAAUGCGUAGAUAUCGGGGAGGAACACCUGUGGCGAAAGCGGCUCACUGGACCAUAACUGACGCUGAUGCACGAAAGCUGGGGGAGCAAACAGG
rnacentral:rRNA from 1 species